GUCGCGGGCGGCUGACGUCGCCGGGGCCCGGCGUCGCGUCAGGGCUGGCCGGCGGCGGAGGCGGUGGCGGCGGCGAUGGCAGUGGACCCUGAGCGAGCUUGAGGGCUCGGACCCAGCUCCCUCCCGCGAAACCUUGGGCCGAUCCGGCGCUGCGGCCCCAGCUCGCUCCGCUCCUGCUCCCUCCCCGGCCGCUGCCUGGGCGGAGGCAGAGGGAGAGGCCCGGGCUGGCCGCCCUGCUCGUACCCCAGCUCGGCCCCGGACGGCCCGGCUGCUGUGCAGAGAGGAGGCCGAGUCGUGAAAAGAGAAUACUGAAGAAUAGGAUCUCAAGAUGAGUAAAAAGCCCCCAAAUCGCCCUGGAAUCACUUUUGAGAUUGGUGCUCGUUUGGAGGCACUGGACUACUUACAAAAAUGGUAUCCAUCACGAAUUGAAAAAAUUGACUAUGAGGAGGGCAAGAUGUUGGUCCAUUUUGAGCGCUGGAGUCAUCGUUACGAUGAGUGGAUUUACUGGGAUAGCAAUAGAUUGCGACCCCUUGAGAGACCGGCACUAAGAAAAGAAGGGCUGAAAGAUGAGGAAGAUUUCUUUGAUUUUAAAGCUGGAGAAGAAGUUCUGGCUCGUUGGACAGACUGUCGCUAUUACCCUGCCAAGAUUGAAGCAAUUAACAAAGAAGGAACAUUUACAGUUCAGUUUUAUGAUGGAGUAAUUCGUUGUUUAAAAAGAAUGCACAUUAAAGCCAUGCCCGAGGAUGCUAAGGGGCAGUUUCUGUUCCAGGUGAAAUCCCAGCAUCCACUAAGCUGGUGUUGUCCUAUCGACCCAGCUGGAUCGUGUAACCAGUCUAUGGGAAGUGAGGAUUGGAUAGCUUUAGUCAAAGCAGCUGCUGCAGCUGCAGCCAAGAACAAAACAGGGAGUAAACCUCGAACCAGCGCUAACAGCAAUAAAGAUAAGGAUAAAGAUGAGAGAAAGUGGUUUAAAGUACCUUCAAAGAAGGAAGAAACUUCAGCUUGUAUAGCCACACCAGACAUAGAGAAGAAGGAAGAUCUGCCUACAUCUAGUGAAACAUUUGUAGGACUUCAUGUAGAGAACGUUCCAAAGAUGGUCUUUCCACAGCCAGAGAGCACAUUAUCAAACAAGAGGAAAAAUAAUCAAGGCAACUCAUUUCAGGCAAAGAGAGCUCGACUUAACAAGAUUACUGGUUUGUUGGCAUCCAAAGCUGUUGGGGUGGAUGGUGCUGAAAAAAAGGAAGACUACAAUGAAACAGCUCCAAUGCUGGAGCAGGCGAUUUCACCUAAACCUCAAAGUCAGAAAAAAAAUGAAGCUGACAUUAGCAGUUCUGCCAACACUCAGAAACCUGCACUGUUAUCCUCAACUUUGUCUUCAGGGAAGGCUCGCAGCAAGAAAUGCAAACAUGAAUCUGGAGAUUCUUCUGGGUGUAUAAAACCCCCUAAAUCACCACUUUCCCCAGAAUUAAUACAAGUCGAGGAUUUGACGCUUGUAUCUCAGCUUUCUUCUUCAGUGAUAAAUAAAACUAGUCCUCCACAGCCUGUGAAUCCCCCUAGACCUUUCAAGCAUAGUGAGCGGAGAAGAAGAUCUCAGCGUUUAGCCACCUUACCCAUGCCUGAUGAUUCUGUAGAAAAGGUUUCUUCUCCCUCUCCAGCCACUGAUGGGAAAGUAUUCUCCAUCAGUUCUCAAAAUCAGCAAGAAUCUUCAGUACCAGAGGUGCCUGAUGUUGCACAUUUGCCACUUGAGAAGCUGGGACCCUGUCUCCCUCUUGACUUAAGUCGUGGUUCAGAAGUUACAGCACCGGUAGCCUCAGAUUCCUCUUACCAUAAUGAAUGUCCCAGGGCAGAAAAAGAGGAUACACAGAUGCUUCCAAAUUCUUCUUCCAAAGCUAUAGCUGAUGGAAGAGGAGCUCCAGCAGCAGCAGCAGGAAUAUCGAAAACUGAAAAAAAAGUGAAAUUGGAAGAAAAAAGCUCAACAGCAUUUGGUAAGAGAAAAGAAAAGGAUAAGGAAAGAAGAGAAAAGAGAGACAAAGAUCACUACAAACCAAAACAGAAGAAGAAGAAAAAAAAGAAAAAGAAAUCUAAGCAGCAUGACUAUUCAGACUAUGAAGACAGUUCCCUCGAAUUUUUGGAAAGGUGCUCUUCUCCACUAACUCGAUCUUCUGGGAGUUCUCUGGCUCCACGAAGCAUGUUUACGGAGAAAACUACAACCUAUCAGUACCCAAGGGCAAUUCUGUCCGUUGAUCUUAGUGGUGAAAACUUAUCAGAUGUAGACUUCCUAGACGAUUCUUCAACGGAGAGUUUGCUUCUGAGUGGGGAUGAAUACAAUCAGGACUUUGAUUCAACCAAUUUUGAGGAAUCUCAGGAUGAGGAUGAUGCUCUUAAUGAAAUUGUGCGAUGUAUUUGUGAGAUGGAUGAGGAGAAUGGCUUCAUGAUCCAGUGUGAAGAGUGCUUGUGCUGGCAACACAGCGUGUGCAUGGGGCUGCUGGAGGAGAGCAUUCCAGAGCAGUACAUCUGCUAUAUCUGCCGGGACCCACCGGGUCAGAGGUGGAGUGCAAAAUAUCGCUAUGAUAAGGAGUGGUUGAAUAAUGGGAGAAUGUGCGGGUUAUCAUUUUUCAAAGAAAAUUAUUCUCAUCUCAAUGCCAAAAAAAUAGUUUCUACGCAUCACCUGCUUGCUGAUGUCUAUGGUGUUACAGAAGUGCUACACGGGCUACAGCUGAAGAUUGGAAUACUAAAGAAUAAACGUCAUCCUGACCUUCAUCUCUGGGCUUGUUCUGGGAAGCGAAAAGACCAAGAUCAAAUAAUAGCUGGGGUAGAGAAAAAAGUAGCACAAGACACAGUUAAUCGAGAAGAAAAGAAAUAUGUACAGAACCAUAAAGAACCACCUCGUUUGCCCCUAAAAAUGGAAGGAACUUAUAUAACAAGUGAGCACAGCUAUCAAAAGCCACAGAGUUUUGGUCAGGACUGUAAAUCUCUCGCAGACCCUGGGAGCUCAGAUGAUGAUGAUGUUAGUAGUUUGGAAGAAGAACAAGAAUUCCACAUGAGAAAUAAAACCCAUUUACAGUACUCAGCAAAAGAACAUGGAAUGCCUGAAAAGAAGAAUCCAGCUGAAGGGAAUACAGUAUUUGUUUAUAAUGAUAAAAAGGGCACUGAAGACCCAGGAGACUCACAUCUUCAGUGGCAGCUCAAUCUCCUUACACACAUAGAAAAUGUGCAGAAUGAAGUUACCAGCAGGAUGGACCUAAUCGAAAAAGAAGUCGAUGUUCUGGAAAGCUGGCUUGAUUUCACAGGGGAGUUGGAGCCACCAGAUCCUCUUACAAGAUUGCCCCAACUUAAACGCCACAUAAAGCAGCUCCUAAUUGACAUGGGCAAAGUACAGCAGAUAGCAACUCUUUGCUCUGUAUGACAACAGUGGACACUUAAUGAAAGAAUGUGGCUUUCUUCAGUCAAAUCAUUUUUAUUAUCCACAUGACAGCUAAGUGGAUAAUUUAAAAGCUUAGUAAUGUCUGGUCAUUCACUGAUUUGUGAUGUCAAUAGGAUGGCACCUUGGAAAGAAAAAUGAAGAACAACUUUAUCAAGGAAGCUAGUAUUUAAAAACAAAUUCAUGAGCAAGCUGCAAAUGAGAAUGUGUUAUAUGCCAAGGAACAAUGAAGUAGAAUAUAAUGUAUACUAAGGGAUUUCAAGUUGGCAGAAUUUUUGAGUAGUUGCUUACAUGAAGCUCAAGAUACCUGUAGAAAGAAAUAUGGUAUAUUUAUAUAGUUUUUAAUAGAAAGAUCUACAUUUAUAAACCAGCACUUGGCCAAAAACAAAAUUGUAAAGGAAAUUUAAAUUCUGGAGAAUUCUACAGGGUUGCUCUAAGAACUGUCUUCUCAGCAGUUGAUCCAGCUGCACGGAAAUUUAGGGUAUUUAAACUUGCAGGAUCAUGAGCUGUUUCUUGGGCGAUGAAUGUUCUUGAUCAACAAACUGACAGUAGAAGUCUCACUUCUGGGGAAAACAGUUGUGGAAUUCUUACUUCAUUAUGAAUGUAUUUAAAAAACAAACACCAAAUAAUUGGAAUAUAUUGCAGGCAUUAAGCUCAUUAAAAACAAACUGGCUUGCAGAAGGGUCCGAUGUGCCAAGUGAUCAUGAUUCUGCUGGAAAGAGGAUUUUAAAUAUUGUGGGAGUUCUCCCACCCUAAGUCUUACAUAAUGCCACCAGUCCAUCCAAAAGCUAUGUAUCACCUAUACUAUAUAUAUCAUAUAUAUAGUUGAAUGGCAGUAUUCAGGCUCAACGUACAGUUUGAUCCUGAGUAUGCUUGGUGUUUGCCUUCAGAAAAAAAAAAUUGUAAAUAACCUCAGCUGGGAUGAGGAGUGACAGAAGUAUCAAAAUAAUUUGUGGCUGUGGAUUUUUUUAACUGCUAGUAGUGGAAUACUGGAAAAGCUUCAUUUCUGAAGAUGAAUUUUAUUUUUAAAAAAUACAUGCACACUCAAAACUUUUAGCUUUGAUCACAAAUGGACAAAUUUCUGAAACCAAAGGCAACUAAGUUGCUGUGUAUGCUCUUGCUGGAUUUUGAGCCUAGGUCCUACUGUCUGCCAGUACUCAUGUGAGUUGUAUGCGCCCCCAGUGCUACAUACGCAGAUACGGAGCAAAUAGCAUCCUUAACCUAUGAAUAAUGAUGUUGCCUAGAUUCUUGUCACACACACAGAAGACCCUUUGUACCUAGUAACAUUCAUCCUCUCGAUUCCCGGUGAAUACGGUUAAAUUCAUGCACAUUUGUUCUUGUUUCUAAAAAUGAGAUCAAUUUAUUUGUUAUCCAGCAAAUUGAAAAUUCCAUUAUUAGAUUUAUUAGAUUACUGCAAUUUUUGCUCUGCUUAUAUGUAUAUGAACUGGAAAUCUGAAUUUUUAAAUUUAGAUCUUUAAAUCAAAUAUUUUUAUGCAUAUUUUCAUUUAAUAUAGAGUAUAUCAAUCGAUUGAAGUCUUUCACGACUAGUAGGCUGAGCCUUUUCUUCUUUAAGAGAGUGAAUUAGUUUCUGAGACGUCAAUCCAUUGUGAAAAGUUUUAGAUGAGAUUAUUUUCUGUCCUUUUAGUCUUUUUAAGUAUCACUAUAUGUAUUUAAAUAGAAGCAAUAAACUAGAGAGAGUGUUUCUUGAAAUGACAAUGUUUUAUUUGCCACCCAGGCAGAACAGAAUGAGCAUUGGUAGAGAAGGCUCCUUCUUGGUAUGUUACUGAUGUACUUCCUCAUACUUGUUUGUGGUUCUACUGACUUAUUUCCAAACUUAAGAGUAAUGUACUUCGAAAACAACUUGGUUAUUCUUUAAAUUUCAGGUAAAACCCCUUUUCCUAACACUCAUUUCCACUGUCUUAUUUCCUCUCAGAUGUUCGUAUUUCACAUGUUCAAAAUGAAGCAUACUAUUUCCCCUCCAAUAAACGAAGUAUCCUGCCAACUUCACUGUCUCCGUUAAUAACGUUACCCUAAGAGUCCAGGCUUCAGACACUGAGUCCUCCCUCAUAUCCAUAUCAUUAAAACGGAUAAUGUUGUCUUCUUCUCAAUCCUACUGAAAGUCCAACAUUUUUUAUAAAAUAAUGUCAUGAAGAUAUUACUACUGGCCUCUGAAACUAUAACUUUGCCUUUAUUCUAAUUCAUCAAAAUUGUCACUGCCAGACUGUUCCAUGCAUUGUACGUUACCUGCAGUAUCUAAUUUGUUCAUAAAAUAAGGUAAAAUGAUCAUUUUCUAGACGAGGCUGAGGGAUAGAGACAUUUAGAAACUUAUCCUGGAUAAGACAUAAGGGGGCGGGUUCAGGAUUCAAAUCCUGUGCUAUUCAAGUUCAUAGUCUCUUUCCAGCAUAUGUGCUUCCACUAUUAUUGUCAUUUCAGUUUUCUGCUCUGGAAUGUCUAGUGACUCCCUCUUUCAAACCAUAUCAGGUCUUUGUAAUCUGGAUCUUUUGCAAUUUACAUAAUCCUCAAAGUUAUUUAAAUGUGGCCUCACUGUUAAAUGGACUACACUUGUUUUCCUCUAUUACCUUCAUAUUGUUUUCCUCUUCUGGAAAAUUCUCAACUGUUUGUUGUCCCUCUGUAAACCCAGACAAUCCUUCAAACUUCAGUUCUCUUCCUAUAAGAAGUAAUCCAUUGCUGAAAGCCUUUCAUGGUAUCCUGCAUUGUACCAAGCUAUGGAGGAACUACAUCAAUGAUUAAUAAUAUAGUGGAACAGGCAUGAACUUUGCAGUCUUGAACUCAAAUUUUCAUUCUGGCAAUUUACUGGCAGUGUGAUCUUUUGGAACUUUACUGUCCUUAUCUGUGAAAUGGGAAUAAUGCCCAACUUAGAGCCUUGUUUUGAGAAUUAAGUAAAGCAAAUAAAGUACCUAGAAGCUGUUA